CAGCAGCCGCGGUAAAACGUAGGGUGCAAGCGUUAAUCGGAAUUAUUGGGCGUAAAGCGUGCGCAGGCGGUUCGCUAAGACAGAUGUGAAAUCCCCGGGCUUAACCUGGGAACUGCAUUUGUGACUGGCGGGCUAGAGUAUGGCAGAGGGGGGUAGAAUUCCACGUGUAGCAGUGAAAUGCGUAGAGAUGUGGAGGAAUACCGAUGGCGAAGGCAGCCCCCUGAGCCAAUACUGACGCUCAUGCACGAAAGCGUGGGGAGCAAACAGGAUUAGAUACCCCUGUAGUCCCUGUCUCUUAUAA
rnacentral:rRNA from 1 species